CAGCCGCCGCGGUAACACGAAGGGUGCAAGCGUUAAUCGGAAUUACUGGGCGUAAAGCGUGCGUAGGCGGUUUGUUAAGUCUGUUGUGAAAUCCCCGGGCUCAACCUGGGAAUGGCGAUGGAUACUGGCAAGCUAGAGUGUGUCAGAGGGGGGUGGAAUUCCGCGUGUAGCAGUGAAAUGCGUAGAUAUGCGGAGGAACACCGAUGGCGAAGGCAGCCCCCUGGGCCAACACUGACGCUCAUGCACGAAAGCGUGGGGAGCAAACAGGAUUAGAUACCCCUGUAGUCCCUGUCUCUUAUAA
rnacentral:rRNA from 1 species